AGCAAAGCGAAGAGUCACUCAAACGAUAGUUACAAAGUUGUGUUGGGAAGAUAGAAUAUUGGAAAUGGCGUCUUAUUGCAGUGCACGAACACACGUCAAUUGGUUCACCAAGCUGAGCUUAACAUUGCUACUUCUGUUGGUUUUGCGACAAAAUGGAACACAAGCACUGAAAUCGUUUGGUCCGUCCAUUAAUUGCGGCCCAAACAGCGUGUAUCAUGAAAGUUGCAAACAUGGCAGCUUCAUUAUAAACUUUAACCCUGAGUUCCGUCCUCCACGCACAUUAUGUCGGAAGGGUGUGGGGAAGUUUGCCACGAAUAUGGCGGCAGCAGUGAUUGUAAACAGGGCUUGUACUGCAACUGUUAUCACCGCUGUAGUGAAAAUCCCGAAAUCUGUCCAUUUUUCGGCAACGGUAUAUUGGAUUUGAAUACUAAGAAGUAGAUAACGCAAAUACAAAAUUGUGUUUAAGGCACUUUUCUAUGCAUAACUGUCUAGACGGCUCAGCAGCAUUAGUAUGUAUGCAGUAUUUAUACCUAUAGUUAGUUUAUACAAAAGUUAUAUUAAUAUUGUAAUAACAUUAGAUAUCUUAGAUUAUAAUAUAGUUUUACAUUCAU